AUAGAGACUGAUGAGUCGUUCGGAGUUUAAACCUAAACAUUAACCGUUUGGUUCGGGGUUAAUAAAAAACUAGUUAUUCCAGGAAUAGGGUAAAGUUCAGGGUUAAGGUGGGGUUAGAGUAUAUUUUGUGUUUAGUUGGGGAUUGGAGUUAGUCCAGGAUUAAGAAAAAUAAUGUUUGGUUGGAGUAGGUGGGAUAAGAAGGAUAGUGGGUAAAAUAUUAUUUUGUUUGGUUUGAAUAGUGGGGUGGGGUGGGGUUAGCUAACUCCACCCCAAAUGGGCUAUCUCAGAAUAGCCCAUUUGGGGUGGGGUUUG
rnacentral:lncRNA from 1 species